rnacentral:rRNA from 1 species
CAGGGCUUGACAUGCACGGUGCAGCCGUAGAGAUACGGUGUCCUUUGGGGUCGUGCACAGGUGGUGCAUGGUUGUCGUCAGCUCGUGUCGUGAGAUGUUGGGUUAAGUCCCGCAACGAGCGCAACCCUCGUCCUGUAUUGCCAGCAGCUCCUUCGGGAGGCUGGGGACUUGCGGGAGACUGCCGGGGUCAACUCGGAGGAAGGUGGGGACGACGUCAAAUCAUCAUGCCCCUUAUGUCCUGGGCUGCACGCAUGCUACAAUGGCCGGUACAGAGGGCUGCGAUACCGUGAGGUGGAGCGAAUCCCGUAAAGCCGGUCUCAGUUCGGAUCGGGGUCUGCAACUCGACCCCGUGAAGUCGGAGUCGCUAGUAAUCGCAGAUCAGCAACGCUGCGGUGAAUACGUUCCC